rnacentral:lncRNA from 10 species
AAAGAAGAAGGUGAUAAAGGAAAACAGACGAUAGUGGUUCCUAUCAAGAUCUUAGAGAAAGAGAACAUUAAGGGAGACAAAUUGGAGUGAUAUCCAACUAAUCAGAAGCUGGAUGUAGCUGAAGGACUUCUUGUUCUAAUUUAUCUGGCUGUGUCUUCACUGAGCGGAAGUAUGCUGACUGUUUUACAUGUGGUAGCUACAAAAAUCUCAUAAAAUGUAGAGCAGGAUGCCUAGAGGAAACUGAGGCUGAGAAAGAUGCAAUAACUUGCUGAAUAUCACAGAAACAAUACGUGAUUCAAAGACUCACAUACAGCCCUCUUCAUGAUUGCAGAAUCUCAACUUUCAACUAUACUGAUUCUCCACAAUGAUGCAUUUCUCGUUGUAAUUUAAUAUAACUCUACAAGGAGAACAUGGAAUGGGAAAAAUCUGACCAACAUUGCAUAAUAUGAUAAAAAUAACUCAUGAUUACCUUAAAA